rnacentral:rRNA from 1 species
AGACCGAUAGCGAACAAGUAGAGUGAUCGAAAGAUGAAAAGCACUUUGAAAAGAGAGUUAAAAAGUACGUGAAAUUGUUGAAAGGGAAGCGUUUAUGACCAGACUUGGGCUUGGUUAAUCAUCUGGGGUUCUCCCCAGUGCACUUUUCCAGUCCAGGCCAGCAUCAGUUUUCCCCGGGGGAUAAAGACGGCGGGAAUGUGGCUCUCUUCGGGGAAGUGUUAUAGCCCACCGUGUAAUACCCUGGGGGGGACUGAGGUUCGCGCAUCUGCAAGGAUGCUGGCGUAAUGGUCAUCAACGACCCGUCUUGAAACACGGACCAAG